rnacentral:rRNA from 1 species
UACAGAGGUGGCAAGCGUUGUUCGGAAUUACUGGGCGUAAAGGGCGCGUAGGCGGCCCGUCAAGUCCCGUGUGAAAGCCCCCGGCUCAACCGGGGAACGGCGCGGGAAACUAGCAGGCUUGAGUUCGGGAGAGGGAAGCGGAAUUCCGGGUGUAGCGGUGAAAUGCGCAGAUAUCCGGAGGAACACCGGUGGCGAAGGCGGAUCUCUGGGCCAUUACUGACGCUGAGGAGCGAAAGCGUGGGGAGCGAACAGG